rnacentral:rRNA from 1 species
GAUGAACGCUGGCGGCGCGCCUAACACAUGCAAGUCGAACGGCACCCCUCCUCGGAGGGAAGCGAGUGGCGAACGGCUGAGUAACACGUGGAGAACCUGCCCCCUCCCCCGGGAUAGCCGCCCGAAAGGACGGGUAAUACCGGAUACCCCGGGGUGCCGCAUGGCACCCCGGCUAAAGCCCCGACGGGAGGGGAUGGCUCCGCGGCACAUCAGGUAGACGGCGGGGUGACGGCCCACCGUGCCGACAACGGGUAGCCGGGUUGUGAGACCGACCGGCCGGAUUGGGACAGAGGCACGGCCCGGACUCCUACGGGAGGCAGCAGUGGGGAAUCUUGCGCGAUGGGGGGAACCCUGACGCAGCGACGCCGCGUGCGGGACGGAGGCCUUCGGGUCGUAAACCGCUUUCAGCAGGGAAGAGUCAAGACUGUACCUGCAGAAGAAGCCCCGGCUAACUACGUG